UACAGAGGGGGCAAGCGUUAUUCGGAAUUAUUGGGCGUAAAGGGCGCGUAGGCGGCUUGGCAAGUGGAUGGUGAAAUCCCUCGGCUUAACCGAGGAACUGCCGUCCAAACUGCUUCGCUUGAGACCGGGAGAGGUGAGUGGAAUUCCCAGUGUAGCGGUGAAAUGCGUAGAUAUUGGGAAGAACACCUGAGGCGAAGGCGGGUUGCUGGGCUGAUACUGACGCUGAGGCGCGAAAGCCAGGGGAGCAAACGGG
rnacentral:rRNA from 1 species